GAUCCUGGCUCAGGAUGAACGCUAGCUACAGGCUUAACACAUGCAAGUCGUGGGGCAGCAUGGGAGAUGCUUGCAUUUCCUGAUGGCGACCGGCGCACGGGUGAGUAACGCGUAUCCAACCUGCCCUUCACUCCGGCACAGCCCGUCGAAAGACGGAUUAAUGCGGUAUGCAGUCAGAAAGAUGCAUAUUAAUUUGACGAAAGGCCUUCGGGCCGGUGAGGGAUGGGGA
rnacentral:rRNA from 1 species